CUACGGGACGCUCCAGUGGGGAAUAUUGCACAAUGGACGAAAGUCUGAUGCAGCAACGCCGCGUGGAGGAUGACACAUUUCGGUGCGUAAACUCCUUUUAUAUAGGAAGAUAAUGACGGUACUAUAUGAAUAAGCGCCGGCUUACUCCGUGCCAGCAGCCGCGGUAAUACGGAGGGCGCAAGCGUUACUCGGAAUCACUGGGCGUAAAGAGCGUGUAGGCGGAUAGAUAAGUCAGGAGUGAAAUCCUAUGGCUCAACCAUAGAACUGCUCUUGAAACUGUCUAUCUAGAAUAUGGGAGAGGUAGAUGGAAUUUCUGGUGUAGGGGUAAAAUCCGUAGAGAUCAGAAGGAAUACCGAUUGCGAAGGCGAUCUACUGGAACAUUAUUGACGCUGAGACGCGAAAGCGUGGGGAGCAAACAGGAUUAGAUACCCUGGUAGUC
rnacentral:rRNA from 1 species